rnacentral:rRNA from 1 species
AGCUCCAGUAGCGUAUAUUAAAGUUGUUGCAGUUAAAAAGCUCGUAGUUGGAUUUCUGACUCGGAUCGCCCGUCCCACCAGCGUUAUGCUCGGUGCGUGAUGAUGGUGUAUCCAGUCAUCCGCCUUUCUCGUCCCUGGUGCUGUUCAUUCAGUGUCCAGGUGUGCGGUUGGGCCAUUUACUUUGAAAAAAUUAGAGUGUUUAAAGCAGGCUAUCGCUGUGAAUACAUUAGCAUGGAAUAAUAAUAUAGGACUUUUGUUCUAUUUUGUUGGUUUCCUGAACAGAAGUAAUGAUUGAUAGGGACAGUUGGGGGUGCUAGUAUUCCACGGCCAGAGGUGAAAUUCUUGGAUUCGUGGAAGACUAACUUAUGCGAAAGCAUUCACCAAGGAUGUCUUCU